GACGAACGCUGGCGGCGUGCCUAAUACAUGCAAGUCGAACGCUUCUUUCCUCCCGAGUGCUUGCACUCAAUUGGAAAGAGGAGUGGCGGACGGGUGAGUAACACGUGGGUAACCUGCCCAUCAGAGGGGGAUAACACUUGGAAACAGGUGCUAAUACCGCAUAACAGUUUAUGCCGCAUGGCAUAAGAGUGAAAGGCGCUUUCGGGUGUCGCUGAUGGAUGGACCCGCGGUGCAUUAGCUAGUUGGUGAGGUAACGGCUCACCAAGGCCACGAUGCAUAGCCGACCUGAGAGGGUGAUCGGUCACACUGGGACUGAGACACGGCCCAGACUCCUACGGGAGGCAGCAGUAGGGAAUCUUCGGCAAUGGACGAAAGUCUGACCGAGCAACGCCGCGUGAGUGAAGAAGGUUUUCGGAUCGUAAAACUCUGUUGUUAGAGAAGAACAAGGACGUUAGUAACUGAACGUCCCCUGACGGUAUCUAAACAGAAAGCCACGGCUAACUACGCG
rnacentral:rRNA from 1 species